CCUACGGGAGGCAGCAGUGGGGAAUUUUGGACAAUGGGCGCAAGCCUGAUCCAGCAAUGCCGCGUGAGUGAAGAAGGCCUUCGGGUUGUAAAGCUCUUUUGUCAGGGAAGAAAAGGUGCGCUCUAACAUAGCGUACUGAUGACGGUACCUGAAGAAUAAGCACCGGCUAACUACGUGCCAGCAGCCGCGGUAAUACGUAGGGUGCAAGCGUUAAUCGGAAUUACUGGGCGUAAAGCGUGCGCAGGCGGUUUUAUAAGUCUGAUGUGAAAUCCCCGGGCUCAACCUGGGAACUGCAUUGGAGACUGUAAGGCUAGAGUGUGUCAGAGGGGGGUAGAAUUCCACGUGUAGCAGUGAAAUGCGUAGAUAUGUGGAGGAAUACCGAUGGCGAAGGCAGCCCCCUGGGAUAACACUGACGCUCAUGCACGAAAGCGUGGGGAGCAAACAGGAUUAGAUACCCUGGUAGUCCACGCCCUAAACGAUGUCUACUAGUUGUCGGGACUUAAUGUNUGUACGCGAGCGACGCGUGAGUAGACCGCCGUGGGGUAGGUACGGGUUCGGCGAAGAAGUUAAAACUUAAACUUAAGUUAGUUAGUAGGACGGNGNGAGAGCGACGACGACGACGACGGAGGAGGAGG
rnacentral:rRNA from 1 species